rfam:Planctomyces sp. SH-PL14, complete genome.
CCCACCACUGAAGUGGUGGGCUAUUUUCGGCCGUCCCUAACGGGACU